UCAGAGUGAACGCUGGCGGUAGGCCUAACACAUGCAAGUCGAACGGCAGCACAGGAGAGCUUGCUCUCUGGGUGGCGAGUGGCGGACGGGUGAGGAAUACAUCGGAAUCUACUCUGUCGUGGGGGAUAACGUAGGGAAACUUACGCUAAUACCGCAUACGACCUACGGGUGAAAGCAGGGGACCUUCGGGCCUUGCGCGAUUGAAUGAGCCGAUGUCGGAUUAGCUAGUUGGCGGGGUAAAGGCCCACCAAGGCGACGAUCCGUAGCUGGUCUGAGAGGAUGAUCAGCCACACUGGAACUGAGACACGGUCCAGACUCCUACGGGAGGCAGCAGUGGGGAAUAUUGGACAAUGGGCGCAAGCCUGAUCCAGCCAUACCGCGUGGGUGAAGAAGGC
rnacentral:rRNA from 1 species